UACGUAGGCAGCGAGCGUUGUUCGGAGUUACUGGGCGUAAAGGGUGUGUAGGCGGUUGUUUAAGUUUGGUGUGGAAUCUCCCGGCUCAACUGGGAGGGUGCGCCGAAUACUGAAUGACUAGAGUGCGGGAGAGGUGAGUGGAAUUCCUGGUGUAGCGGUGAAAUGCGUAGAUAUCAGGAGGAACACCAACAGCGAAGGCAGCACUCUGGGCCGGUACUGACGCUGAGGAGCGAAAGCAUGGGGAGCGAACAGG
rnacentral:rRNA from 1 species